GAUGAAGAACGCAGCGAAAUGCGAUAAGUAAUGUGAAUUGCAGAAUUCAGUGAAUCAUCGAAUCUUUGAACGCACAUUGCGCCCGCCAGUAUUCUGGCGGGCAUGCCUGUUCGAGCGUCAUUACAACCCUCAGGCCCCCGGGCCUGGCGUUGGGGAUCGGCGGAAGCCCCCUGCGGGCACAACGCCGUCCCCCAAAUACAGUGGCGGUCCCGCCGCAGCUUCCAUUGCGUAGUAGCUAACACCUCGCUACUGGAGAGCGGCGCGGCCACGCCGUAAAACACCCAACUUCUGAAUGUUGACCUCGAAUCAGGUAGGAAUACCCGCUGAACUUAAGCAUAUCAAUAAGCGGAGGA
rnacentral:misc_RNA from 1 species